AAUUAAUCAAAAAUUAAUUAGUCUUUCUGUUGUUUGCUUAUGACAUCUGUCGUUUGUUACUUUGUUUUUUAAUUUUAUGCACUUUUGGGGCGAUACAUAGAGUAUUUAGACCAAAGCCUCACCACCUAGGCCAUGGGUAUUUAGUGUAUAUGAAAAAAAAUAAUGAAAUUGUUUCUGCAACAUUGCCAUGAGCAAUUCAGAAAAUGGCAUGACAAUUCAGUUGAGUAAACAGGAAGUUGACAUCCGUUCAGGGGCAUAGGAAGCAUCUUUUAGUUGGGGGGGGGGGCAUUAACCAUGAGAGCAUUUGCCACCUGAGAAAGGGCACAUGUUAAUAUACAUUACCAAAAUGAACUAGUAAUAAAUAGAUAACAUUGUGCAGUUGUCUAUUCAGUUAUAGGUACACAGUAUGAUGUCAAAAUGUGGCAAGAACAAAAAAGUGGCCCACAAGCAGGCUAGGCAAGGGGAUCACUGAUGUUCUUACCACAUUAUGACGUCUUCAGGACUGUGUUUCUAUAAUUGAACAGACAACGGAAAAAAAAUUUAAACAAAUUUAUUCUUUAUUCUAAAUCUUUAUUUGCCCCCAAACAUUUGGAAAACAGAAGAGUCAAACAGAUUCAAAGUUUUGAAGUUCAGUUCGAAAUUGGACACAUUUUGAGAAACUAGGAAAUAAAAUGAACGAAAACCGGUACCAGUUACUGUAAAAUUAUCAAGAAGAAAAUGUGUUUGGUCCGGAAAAUUUUUUUAAGUGCUUCUGUCUCCAACAUUUCAGGGCUGCAAAAAAAUUUUGAAAUUAGCCCCCUCAAAAUAAAAACUGUUCCAC